UAGGUGCUGCUCCAAUGAUGACUCCUCUGGAAUUAUGUACUCCAAUUGAUCAGUCUCCUUCGAGAAAGGUUGAGCUGGACGACGGAGAGCGGUUGAGCGCGACGAGAUGGCGGCGAUGAUACGACGGCGACAAGGCGACGGCGAAUUAUCAAAAUGUCAAGCACAGUACAAUAACCUAAAAAUUCAUUGAAUAAGUCAGAAUCAUUGAAUCAACCCUAAAAAAGAAUUAAAAAAAAAAGAAACAGUACAAAAAAUUCAACGUAAAAAAAUUAGAAUUAACAACCCAUCGAAAGAACAAAUCAGAAUCAACUAUCGGGAGGACGACGAAAGAAUAAAAAUAAAUCAGAAUCAAACCAACAAUCA